rnacentral:rRNA from 1 species
UUAAGCGACUAAGCGUACACGGUGGAUGCCCUGGCAGUCAGAGGCGAUGAAGGACGUGCUAAUCUGCGAUAAGCGUCGGUAAGGUGAUAUGAACCGUUAUAACCGGCGAUUUCCGAAUGGGGAAACCCAGUGUGAUUCGUCACACUAUCAUUAACUGAAUCCAUAGGUUAAUGAGGCGAACCGGGGGAACUGAAACAUCUAAGUACCCCGAGGAAAAGAAAUCAACCGAGAUUCCCCCAGUAGCGGCGAGCGAACGGGGAGGAGCCCAGAGCCUGAAUCAGUGUGUGUGUUAGUGGAAGCGUCUGGAAAGGCGCGCGAUACAGGGUGACAGCCCCGUACACAAAAAUGCACAUACUGUGAGCUCGAUGAGUAGGGCGGGACACGUGGUAUCCUGUCUGAAUAUGGGGGGACCAUCCUCCAAGGCUAAAUACUCCUGACUGACCGAUAGUGAACCAGUACCGUGAGGGAAAGGCGAAAAGAACCCCGGCGAGGGGAGUGAAAAAGAACCUGAAACCGUGUACGUACAAGCAGUGGGAGCCUCUUUAUGGGGUGACUGCGUACCUUUUGUAUAAUGGGUCAGCGACUUAUAUUCUGUAGCAAGGUUAACCGAAUAGGGGAGCCGAAGGGAAACCGAGUCUUAACUGGGCGUUAAGUUGCAGGGUAUAGACCCGAAACCCGGUGAUCUAGCCAUGGGCAGGUUGAAGGUUGGGUAACACUAACUGGAGGACCGAACCGACUAAUGUUGAAAAAUUAGCGGAUGACUUGUGGCUGGGGGUGAAAGGCCAAUCAAACCGGGAGAUAGCUGGUUCUCCCCGAAAGCUAUUUAGGUAGCGCCUCGUGAAUUCAUCUCCGGGGGUAGAGCACUGUUUCGGCAAGGGGGUCAUCCCGACUUACCAACCCGAUGCAAACUGCGAAUACCGGAGAAUGUUAUCACGGGAGACACACGGCGGGUGCUAACGUCCGUCGUGAAGAGGGAAACAACCCAGACCGCCAGCUAAGGUCCCAAAGUCAUGGUUAAGUGGGAAACGAUGUGGGAAGGCCCAGACAGCCAGGAUGUUGGCUUAGAAGCAGCCAUCAUUUAAAGAAAGCGUAAUAGCUCACUGGUCGAGUCGGCCUGCGCGGAAGAUGUAACGGGGCUAAACCAUGCACCGAAGCUGCGGCAGCGACACUAUGUGUUGUUGGGUAGGGGAGCGUUCUGUAAGCCUGUGAAGGUGUACUGUGAGGUAUGCUGGAGGUAUCAGAAGUGCGAAUGCUGACAUAAGUAACGAUAAAGCGGGUGAAAAGCCCGCUCGCCGGAAGACCAAGGGUUCCUGUCCAACGUUAAUCGGGGCAGGGUGAGUCGACCCCUAAGGCGAGGCCGAAAGGCGUAGUCGAUGGGAAACAGGUUAAUAUUCCUGUACUUGGUGUUACUGCGAAGGGGGGACGGAGAAGGCUAUGUUGGCCGGGCGACGGUUGUCCCGGUUUAAGCGUGUAGGCUGAUUUUCCAGGCAAAUCCGGAAAAUCAAGGCUGAGGCGUGAUGACGAGGCACUACGGUGCUGAAGCAACAAAUGCCCUGCUUCCAGGAAAAGCCUCUAAGCAUCAGGUAACAUCAAAUCGUACCCCAAACCGACACAGGUGGUCAGGUAGAGAAUACCAAGGCGCUUGAGAGAACUCGGGUGAAGGAACUAGGCAAAAUGGUGCCGUAACUUCGGGAGAAGGCACGCUGAUAUGUAGGUGAAGCGACUUGCUCGUGGAGCUGAAAUCAGUCGAAGAUACCAGCUGGCUGCAACUGUUUAUUAAAAACACAGCACUGUGCAAACACGAAAGUGGACGUAUACGGUGUGACGCCUGCCCGGUGCCGGAAGGUUAAUUGAUGGGGUUAGCGGUAACGCGAAGCUCUUGAUCGAAGCCCCGGUAAACGGCGGCCGUAACUAUAACGGUCCUAAGGUAGCGAAAUUCCUUGUCGGGUAAGUUCCGACCUGCACGAAUGGCGUAAUGAUGGCCAGGCUGUCUCCACCCGAGACUCAGUGAAAUUGAACUCGCUGUGAAGAUGCAGUGUACCCGCGGCAAGACGGAAAGACCCCGUGAACCUUUACUAUAGCUUGACACUGAACAUUGAGCCUUGAUGUGUAGGAUAGGUGGGAGGCUUUGAAGUGUGGACGCCAGUCUGCAUGGAGCCGACCUUGAAAUACCACCCUUUAAUGUUUGAUGUUCUAACGUUGGCCCCUGAUCGGGGUUGCGGACAGUGUCUGGUGGGUAGUUUGACUGGGGCGGUCUCCUCCUAAAGAGUAACGGAGGAGCACGAAGGUUGGCUAAUCCUGGUCGGACAUCAGGAGGUUAGUGCAAUGGCAUAAGCCAGCUUGACUGCGAGCGUGACGGCGCGAGCAGGUGCGAAAGCAGGUCAUAGUGAUCCGGUGGUUCUGAAUGGAAGGGCCAUCGCUCAACGGAUAAAAGGUACUCCGGGGAUAACAGGCUGAUACCGCCCAAGAGUUCAUAUCGACGGCGGUGUUUGGCACCUCGAUGUCGGCUCAUCACAUCCUGGGGCUGAAGUAGGUCCCAAGGGUAUGGCUGUUCGCCAUUUAAAGUGGUACGCGAGCUGGGUUUAGAACGUCGUGAGACAGUUCGGUCCCUAUCUGCCGUGGGCGCUGGAGAACUGAGGGGGGCUGCUCCUAGUACGAGAGGACCGGAGUGGACGCAUCACUGGUGUUCGGGUUGUCAUGCCAAUGGCACUGCCCGGUAGCUAAAUGCGGAAGAGAUAAGUGCUGAAAGCAUCUAAGCACGAAACUUGCCCCGAGAUGAGUUCUCCCUGACUCCUUGAGAGUCCUGAAGGAACGUUGAAGACGACGACGUUGAUAGGCCGGGUGUGUAAGCGCAGCGAUGCGUUGAGCUAACCGGUACUAAUGAACCGUGAGGCUUAACCU